rnacentral:rRNA from 1 species
UACGUAGGUGGCAAGCGUUGUCCGGAAUUAUUGGGCGUAAAGCGCGCGCAGGCGGUCCUUUAAGUCUGAUGUGAAAGCCCACGGCUCAAUCGUGGAGGGUCAUUGGAAACUGGGGGACUUGAGUACAGAAGAUAAGAGUGGAAUUCCACGUGUAGCGGUGAAAUGCGUAGAGAUGUGGAGGAACACCAGUGGCGAAGGCGACUCUUUGGUCUGUAACUGACGCUGAGGCGCGAAAGCGUGGGGAGCAAACAGG